UGGUGGAGUGAUUUGUCUGCUUAAUUGCGAUAACGAACGAGACCUUCCCCUGCUAAAUAGCCCGGCCGGCCUGGCCGGCCGCCGGCUUCUUAGAGGGACUAUCGGCUUAAGCCGAUGGAAGUUGGAGGCAAUAACA
rnacentral:rRNA from 1 species